ACCACCUCCUCGUCGUAGCGCCCGAUGAGCCGCUCGAACUCGCGGUAGAUGGAGCCGGCCAGGCCGGACACCCGCUCUGACAUCACGGCCCCGGAGCCGCCGGGCUCCUCCUGGAGAGACUGGGGAUGGGACAGGGAGUGCCGAGGAAGCAAAGGCAGAUGAACUAUGUGGCUCUCGUGAUGCUCAGGCAAUUGCUUUCAUGAGAAGAUCCUGCUGUUUGAUUUGUAGUUUGCCCCUGGAGUCAAAGAUCAAGAUAUGAGCUGCCAGCUACUGCUCCAGCAUCACACCUGCCUGCCUGCUGCUGUGCUCCUCAUAUGAUGGUCAUGGACUCUAACCCUCUGCCGCAG